rnacentral:rRNA from 1 species
GAUGAACGCUGGCGGCGUGCCUAAUACAUGCAAGUCGAGCGAACAGACGAGAGUGCUUGCACUCUCUGACGUUAGCGGCGGACGGGUGAGUAACACGUGGGUAACCUACCUAUAAGACUGGGAUAACUUCGGGAAACCGGAGCUAAUACCGGAUAAUAUUUAGCUUCGCAUGAAGCAAUAGUGAAAGACGGUUCUGCUGUCACUUAUAGAUGGACCCGCGGUGUAUUAGCUAGUUGGUGAGGUAACGGCUCACCAAGGCAACGAUACAUAGCCGACCUGAGAGGGUGAUCGGCCACACUGGGACUGAGACACGGACCAGACUCCUACGGGAGGCAGCAGUAGGGAAUCUUCCGCAAUGGACGAAAGUCUGACGGAGCAAUGCCGCGUGAGUGAAGAAGGUUUUCGGAUCGUAAAACUCUGUUGUAUGGGAAGAACAAGUACGUUAGUAACUGAACGUACCUUGACGGUACCUUACCAGAAAGCCACGGCUAACUACGUG